rnacentral:rRNA from 1 species
UACGUAGGUGGCAAGCGUUGUCCGGAUUUACUGGGCGUAAAGAGCGCGCAGGCGGUCGUUCAAGUCGCGUGUGAAAGCCCCCGGCUCAACUGGGGAGGGUCACGCGAUACUGAUCGACUCGAAGGCAGGAGAGGGUAGUGGAAUUCCCGGUGUAGUGGUGAAAUGCGUAGAUAUCGGGAGGAACAUCAGUGGCGAAAGCGGCAUCCUGGACCGGUAUUGACGCUGAGGCGCGAAAGCCAGGGGAGCAAACGGG